rnacentral:rRNA from 1 species
AUGGCAAAAAUGGAUGUUGGUUUCACAGACGUCUUAUCCCGUAUCGCCGAAUGGAUACCAGCUGUCAUAAGAGGCCCUUCAUCUCCCCCAAAGGAAGUUACCGUGAUAGAAACUCGCCAUGUCAGCAAUGGAGAACACACAGUUUUUAAUUUGUGUUGUAUCAUGAAGCCACCACAACCACCCCCUAUGUGUUAUAUCCUCCAGCAACACGGGCUUAGAGACCCCCCUGAGUUUGCGAUGAACAUUCAUGAGACGCCACCACAACCACCCCCUAUGUGUUAUAUCCUCCAGCAACACGGGCUUAGAGACCCCCCUGAGUUUGCGAUGAACAUUCGCGGGACGGCGACACAAUGUCGACACGGGCGUGCAAAGGGAAGCCUGGGUGGCUGUGAAAACGGCUGCAUCACGGGCAAGAUGCAUGUACUGCAUGACGGGGGUCGGGGGCAGCAGCAAAAAUAUAAGAAGAUCAGGCCAAAAGGGGUGGGGCGUCGUGCAUGGGCUGGUAUUGAUCGUAGGCAUGGAGGAUGGCCCGUGAUCGGAUUCACUAGGAGGCUUGAAGAAAUAUACCCGGCUUCUACCUUCCACACGAGGGCGGAAUUUUACUUUCCUGCUAGAAGCCCAGACAGUAGCUCGAGCUCGACGAACUGCAAUCCCCUAGUCCGGCGGCACACAGCAGAUCUAAGGAUGGAUGGCUACGGGAUACCAGCUUCAGGGCCGAGACCACCCCAACGAUUCGACGACGCAUCCUCUGAAUCGGAAGAAGAGGAGGGGAUCGGUUUCCCGGCUGGGGGUGGCGUUGCAGAGUCCGAGUCAGACGAAGAAGAUCAGAACCAACGCAAUGGAAAAGCGCCUGCAAUCAGCUCGAGAUGCAGCGUAAAAAAGCUUCAUGAUUUGCUGGCGUCUCUUGAGAUGGAUUUUAGGGGGCUGCUGGAGCUACCAAAGAUAACCAAGACGGAUAGGCAUUUCUUAAUGUCUAUUUUAGGUCACAUAGACGAGGAAGCAAGUUCCAUCACUAUCGAUCACAAGCGCGACGUGCAGUUCUAUGACGAAGAUGUUCACACUGUCCUUGGCAUACCUUGCGGAGCUGCGCCUGUUAGAGAUGCAGGUCAUCAUGUUUCAGAGGAGGUGCUCACACUGAUCAGAGGCAUGUUUGGUAUCGGACCAGGAGAGCACAGCAUUUUGCCAAUUGUUGAAGCAGUGAAGAUGACAUACGGCCGCCGUAUGACUGUGGGUGAGAAGAACAAAUUCAAAGUGGGGCUGGUGAUAUGCGCAUGCACAUACCUCCUUGCUCCAACGCUGGAGAACGACUACUUCUGCACCGAUUACUGGGGCGCGUUGGCCACACCUGAUCUCAUACAUAUGCACAAAUGGUGCAGAUACACACGAGAAGAGCUGCUGGUUGCGGCUAAAAGGGUGAAGGCAGAUCUCUUAGGAGGCCGUCAGAAGUCAAACCUGUCCGGGUGCCUGCCAUUUAUACAGUUUGACAUGUGUUUCCUGAUGUCCACGUGUGCCACCACCCACCCCCCCCCACACACACAGGUGUUCUACGUCGAUAACCUAGACGCUGCAGAGAACAACAUCGACCACACGGUAUGGCCUAGGGUGAAAGUGUACACCUACACUCUUAUGAAAACAAUAAUUCAGAAGGAUGUCAAAUCACGCAAAGGAGACUACCCCGUUGUGUAUGGCAGGCUGCUGCCAAGGGCGGAAACAGAAGUCUGUUACCAUAGAAACCCUAUGAACAGGAAGAUUGCCGCGGGCACAUCAACGGGCACGGCCCACGGACGCCCAGUCGCAUCGGGCUGCAGUUCGAUAGACAUAAAGGAGGCAUCUUAUAUUGUCUUGGGCAAAAUAUCAAAGUUCACAUCCAGGUGCGAAGAAGUGCUUCUUUCAACUGCAAGGAAGAAGGAAGAGGAAAAUCACCGCCAUUUCAAUGCGCUAAAUAGCCUUGAAAAUUCAGCUCAGCACACAAUCAAGAGGGAGGCGAAAAGGGUGAGAGACGGGUUCUUUUCGUUCUUCUCAAUUAUCGAGAGGCAAGACGCCGAGAUGAGGACAAGGAGGAAUGACACAAGUAACAAUGGCAACUCCACGGGGGGCCGCGGCGCAUCCCCAAUAACACACUCACCUGGACCUGCAGCUAGCAAUGCUGCCGCAACACCUCCAGACACAAGGAGAGAUCUGCGCAACAGCAACAUAUCGCCGGAAGUCGUUGAGGUUUCCCCCCGACGCUUCAAGAAGACAGCCAAGAAACCCAAGAAAGUAAGGUUUGAGUGCGAGGCUUCAGAUGUCAUGGAUAUCACGGAUUCAGAAGAUAAUACAAACGUGGUCAGUUCAACAGUCGCACCAAUUAAUUCUGCCACCACACCAGGAGGUUGUCGCAUUCAAGGAAACUCGCCAAGCAUAAACCUCGCUCUAGACAGCUUGAUAACAGAAGCGGAGAGAUAUAGCGCAGGAGGCAAGCAAAAUGGUGAGAGUUCCGCUGCAACAAACAAAUCAAUAAUGGACAUUGUACCAGGAUUGUCAACAUCCGACGUCGUCGGUGCUGCGGAUGUUGCUUCAACAUACCCCGUUUGUUGCGCUCAAGACCCUAAUUACCACCACAACCGCCUAUGGAACUACCCUGAUGGACACCCGCUUCUUGAGGAGACAGCAUCAUUUGACUUAGGGGUCAUCACGCCCCCUUGCAACAAGUCAAAGGGCCCAAGCCUGGUUAGCAUCGCUGCCAUGCGGGAUGUCACCCGCAGAGACCUUUUCGGGGCAGGCGACUUUGGAACCAGCACUCCAGGUUCAGCCAACCUCGGGACACCAUCAACGCCUUUUCACAUAGCCAGUGCAAGUCUAGACGGAACUCAACAACGGCAAAUCGUUCAUGACAUAUCACCGGUUAGCUGCACAAGGUCUGUGGCAACCGGGAUUUUAGACUUUAGAGAAGAGGUGGAGGCAGACUGUGUCAAUCUCAACAAGCCGGUAGAGGAAAAUUCACUAUCUGCACCGCCACCGAAAAGGAGAGUGGUGCCCGGACCUGCCGGACGAUCGCCAUUCAUUAUGCAGUACCGUCUGUCUGAAAGGGCGUCCGGAAACGCCACCCACUUAUAUUUAGUGUUCUCCCAGAUGAGUGGUGCAGUGUUAAACAACAACUGGGUUGUUAGCCCAUACCCCAGUUACAUAGAAUUGACGGGAGCCAUACUGAAGAAGCAGCUUAGCGUUGGAGGGUUCAUAGAGAUAGAUCUAAUGAAUGUCUUCAUGAGAAGAUUCCAGCAGCUGGAGAAUGUUUGGGCAAGGAAAUAUGGCGAUUCGACCUGGAGGCAUUACCCGGAGCCAGAUUUCGUGAGCCACGUGUUGCGCGGCGGUGAUUUCAUUCGUAAUGACUACGUAAGGAACAUUUUUGUUGGCCACCAUAUAUCCCACGAUGUCAACAGAUGCCCUAUGAUGAUAUUGCCAGUGCAGCACACACACGCAUGGUCUACAUAUUUCUUUGAUUUUCCGAGAAGGAGAACAACAAUUCUCGACCCUAUGAUAAACAAUGGAGACAGGCCGGCGGACGAACUCCGCAAUGAGCACAUAAAGAUAGCUCAUGAGCUACGUGCAGCGCUAAUGGUUUGCAUAGCAGAAUACUUUGAUGGCUGGGCGCCCAAGACGAAAGGGUGGCAAAAUUGGUUCCCAAAGCUCACCACUGGACCUUGGGUCUGCAGCCGGGCAUCCAGCGGGAUCGUCGCACUGCACUACGCAAGGCAAUGGAUGGGGACAAAGUUACAGCGCACCCUGUCUCCGAUAGGGGAUGAAUUCGAUCAGUCCAGGAUGAUGCUCCUUUAUGAAGUUCUGGGACUGGGCGGCAACAUCGGGCAACUUCCGGCGAAAUUCAAAGUCUGUCAGACAGACUGCUGA